AUUCAUCUGAAGUGUCUCAAAUAAGACAAAACAUGUGUUGUGGAU
rnacentral:hammerhead_ribozyme from 1 species